rnacentral:lncRNA from 1 species
UUCAACCAGUUUUAUGUUUUGACAUAUCAAUUCCAAAACCAUUACAACAACAACAACAAGAAAAAGGUUUCUUGGUUACAAGUGAGUGUACUUGAGAUGUGAUUUAAGUCAAGGUAAGAAAACAUUUUAUAUAACUACACAUUUACAUAAGAUAACCUCACUUUUUUUUAAAAAAAAAAUUCCAUUUCAUCAUGAUGAUCAUCACCACCUGCAUACACCAGGCUCUGUUGUUUUGCUGAGAGCUAGAAUCUCAUCAUACUUUGAGCCAUACACAAAUCCCCAUAACUGCAAACAAAUAUCAAUGAAUGGGUGUGUGCUUCUCAUUGUUUGUCUUCAGUGAAACAAAAGGAGAGAGAGAGUUGAAGUUAAACUACCUCCACUUCCUUAACAUCAAAGUCCUGAGAGGUUGCAAGACAAGCGUUCCCGUAUGUCUCCGAGUAAGCACUUGAUCCACUUAGCCUAUUAAAAGAACACGAUGAUGAAUCAAACAAAGUGAGGAUACAUGGUUUUGUUGUUUGUCGUGGAGAUAAGAAACCUUACAGCUCACUGUCUAGAUAGAGAGCAAACCGUCCACCACCACCGAGAGCUAGAAAGUCCUUGGAGCAUAAUGUGUAAAACCUAUUUGCUCCUGUGGGACGGUAUAUAGUGGGUUGUCCAGACUUAUCAGUGAAAACAAAUGUACUGUUGGUUCCCUGACACACACAAACAACACCGCAGAGACAAAAGAACAUCAACUAGAGAUGAAAAGAAAGAAAAGAUUGCAUCUUUGUGGGUGGGGGGGAGCCAAACCUGAUACUUCUUAUCAGUUGGUAUCAAAGGCGCCUCCACAAGUCCACCAAACACCGAACCUUUCCUGUCUCCAACAACCUGAAACCAACAUUGGUUUUGUCCAUAGAUAACGAAAUGAAACCAAACGUGUUUUGAGUUUUGAGUUUACCAGUAGACUGAGACCAGGCCAGAGGAGGCUUUUUCUGUAGAGCGUUGACAGAGAUAUACCAUGCCUCCAUGUACUGAAACAAAAACACGCAGCAGAUGAAACCAAAGGAUCAAACAUUGAGAUGCUUUCAAUGUGUGUGUGUGUCUCACCUAUAAAGCAAAAUCCAUUUCCUGCCUUGAACAAGAGCAGGAAGUGAAGAAUAAAGGGAACGUCUAGAGUGGUCAGUCAAAAGCAAAGAGGGCUCUGAAAUGUCAGGUAUAAGAAUGGCUGUUGUUGCUGUGUCACCUUUAUCCUGCAUCUGCUUCAUCUCCAAGCCAUCGUCCUCAACAGUAUUCCCCAAAAGUCACCUCUCGCCGGCGAAUUCACUCUCCCACCACCACCGCCGCGACGAGCUUUACCACCACCAUAACCGCCGAUCUCCCUCUUCUCCUUCUGAUCAAGCCAAUGACUCUUCUUAUCACCUUCCUCCUCCACAAAGCUAGAUCCUUUCACUUUACUCUUCCUAUCUUCCUCGAUAUACUUCACCGGGAACAUAUCAUUUGAGAUCGACAGAGGGUGUUUGAGCGUGACGUAAGCCUUCUUGUAGUCAGCCUUGGCUAUCAGCAGCCCGCCGCGCUUCUUCUUCUUCCCGUCCAUGUUCAGAGUGUUCACCUUCUCGAUCUCGAACCCGUAGAGAGACUCCAGGACUCUCUUGAUCUCGAUCUUGGUCGCGGAUGGGAUCGUUUUCAGCGCGAACUCGUGAAUGUUUGUGAGCUUCGUCGGCAUCAGAAGCUUGAUCGGGAGGUUCGCGAAGUGGACCACUCGUCCUCCCAUUCCUACGGAGUUUCUUCACUUCUCUGAUAGGUUAAAAUGGUUCUUCUACGGGAAAGGGUUCUUCGUCUUCCUCUUUGACUUGUACCUUAAUGGGCCGAUUACUAAUUAAAUGGGCUAAAUGAAGCUUUAUCCGCUAUGCGAAUAUGACUUAAUGGGCCGAAUUAACUUUUUAACAUUAAUCUAAUAUUUUUUAUUUAUAAAUCAUUACAUAAUGUUGUGUGUCUGAAAGUUUUACUUACAAUCUUAAACCAUUUAUGAUUAUAAUUCUAAUUACAUUUCUAAACAAUGUUAAAUAUAUCUCAUGCAAUCUGCAUAAACCAAUUUUUAUUGAUGAAAUUUCAACCAGUUUUAUGUUUUGACAUAUCAAUUCCAAAACCAUUACAACAACAACAACAAGAAAAAGGUUUCUUGGUUACAAGUGAGUGUACUUGAGAUGUGAUUUAAGUCAAGGUAAGAAAACAUUUUAUAUAACUACACAUUUACAUAAGAUAACCUCACUUUUUUUUAAAAAAAAAAUUCCAUUUCAUCAUGAUGAUCAUCACCAC